rnacentral:rRNA from 1 species
AGAGCGAACGCUGGCGGCAGGCCUAACACAUGCAAGUCGAACGGACUCUUCGGAGUUAGUGGCGGACGGGUGAGUAACACGUGGGAACGUGCCUUUAGGUUCGGAAUAGCUCCUGGAAACGGGUGGUAAUACCGAAUGUGCCCUUCGGGGGAAAGAUUUAUCGCCUUUAGAGCGGCCCGCGUCUGAUUAGCUUGUUGGUGAGGUAAUGGCUCACCAAGGCUACGAUCAGUAGCUGGUCUGAGAGGAUGACCAGCCACAGUUGGGACUGAGACACGGCCCAAACUCCGUACGGGAGCAGCGAGGUAGGGGAAUCGUUGCGCGAAAGUGGGGACGAAAGCCGUAGACCG